CCUACGGGUGGCAGCAGUGGGGAAUAUUGGGCAAUGGGCGCAAGCCUGACCCAGCAAUGCCGCGGGAAGGAAGAAGGCUUUCGGGUUGUAAACUUCUUUGACAGGGGAAGAGCAGAAGACGGUACCCUGAAAACAAGCCACGGCUAACUACGUGCAAGCAGCCGCGGUAAUACGGAGGAUGCGAGCGUUAUCCGGAUUUAUUGGGUUUAAAGGGUGCGCAGGCGGCGUGUCAAGUCAGCGGUAAAAUGUCGGGGCUCAACCCCGGCCGGCCGUUGAAACUGGCGUGCUCGAGUUGGAGAGAAGUAUGCGGAAUUCGUGGUGUAGCGGUGAAAUGCAUAGAUAUCACGAAGAACCCCGAUUGCGAAGGCAGCAUACCGGCUCCACACUGACGCUGAGGCACGAAAGCGUGGGUAUCGAACAGGAUUAGAUACCCCAGUAGUC
rnacentral:rRNA from 1 species